AUGGCCCUGCAAGUGGCUGUCCCUGGUGUACCGGCUGAGCCGUCCCUUAGAGCCACAGCCCAGGCCACGCUGCCCACGCUCGGCGCAUCUCUGGCAUCUCUGCACGGAGCGGCCCGGGGAGGAAUGCUGCAGUGCUCAAAUGGGGCGAAGCUGGACCUGACCUUCCUCCUUCCACAUCCACCUCCCCGCACCACCUUCUCUCCCCUCGCAGGCCAGCCCAAGGCCCCCCCCACCGUCCACCUCUUCCCGCCGUCCACCGACGAGCUCUCGACGCAGAGCAAAGCCACCCUGGUGUGUCUGCUGGGAGACUUCUACCCCGGCGCCAUGCAGGUGACCUGGACGGCCGAUGGCCGUACCCUCUCCAGUGGCAUCGAGACCAGCCGUCCCCAGCGGCAGACCAACAACCAGUACAUGGCCAGCAGCUACCUGACGCUGAGUGCCGCCGACUGGAGGAGCUGCAAGACCUACGCCUGCAAGGUCACGCAUGAGACUAGCACCAUCAAAAAGGUCCUGACUAGAUCUGAGUGCUCCUAA